CCAACGGCCCUCUUUAGGGCCACAAGUAUCCAAUAAUCCUAACUUU
rnacentral:ncRNA from 13 species